GUCCACGCCGUAAACGUUGGGCACUAGGUGUGGGGUCUAUUCAACGGACUCCGUGCCGUCGCUAACGCAUUAAGUGCCCCGCCUGGGGAGUAUGGCCGCAAGGCUAAAACUCAAAGGAAUUGACGGGGGCCCGCACAAGCAGCGGAGCAUGUUGCUUAAUUCGAGGCAACGCGAAGAACCUUACCUGGGUUUGACAUGUAGAGAAAAGCCAUAGAGAUAUGGUGUCCUCGGGUUCGUACACAGGUGGUGCAUGGUUGUCGU
rnacentral:rRNA from 1 species